GCACCCGUAGUCUAAUGGAUAGAAUAUUGGCCUCCGACGCCAAGGAUGCAGGUUCGAUUCCUGUCGGGUGCA
rnacentral:tRNA from 2 species